GAUGAAGAACGUAGCGAAAUGCGAUAAGUAAUGUGAAUUGCAGAAUUCAGUGAAUCAUCGAAUCUUUGAACGCACAUUGCGCCCCCUGGUAUUCCGGGGGGCAUGCCUGUUCGAGCGUCAUUUCACCACUCAAGCCUCGCUUGGUAUUGGGCAACGCGGUCCACCGCGUGCCUCAAAUCGUCCGGCUGGGUCUUCUGUCCCCUAAGCGUUGUGGAAACUAUUCGCUAAAGGGUGUUCGGGAGGCUACGCCGUAAAACAACCCCAUUUCUAAGGUUGACCUCGGAUCAGGUAGGGAUACCCGCUGAACUUAAGCAUAUCAAUAAGCGGAGGA
rnacentral:misc_RNA from 1 species